rnacentral:rRNA from 1 species
GAGUUUGAUCUUGGCUCAGAACGAACGCUGGCGGCAGGCCUAACACAUGCAAGUCGAACGCCCAGCAAUGGGAGUGGCGCACGGGUGCGUAACGCGUGGGAAUAUGCCCUUGACUACGGGACAACGUCGGGAAACUGACGCUAAUACCGUAUAAUGUCUCCGGACCAAAGAUUUAUCGGUCAAGGAUUAGCCCGCGUUAGAUUAGCUAGUUGGUGAGGUAACGGCUCACCAAGGCAACGAUCUAUAGCUGGUCUGAGAGGAUGAUCAGCCACACUGGAACUGAGACACGGUCCAGACUCCUACGGGAGGCAGCAGUGAGGAAUAUUGGACAAUGGGCGCAAGCCUGAUCCAGCCAUGCCGCGUGAGUGAUGAAGGCCUUCGGGUUG